rnacentral:rRNA from 1 species
UACGUAGGGGGCAAGCGUUGUCCGGAUUUAUUGGGCGUAAAGAGCGUGUAGGCGGCCAAGCAGGUCCGCUGUGAAAACUCGAGGCUCAACCUCGAGACGCCGAUGGAAACCAUCUGACUAGAGUCCGGAAGAGGAGAGUGGAAUUCCUGGUGUAGCGGUGAAAUGCGCAGAUAUCAGGAAGAACACCCGUGGCUAAGGCGGCUCUCUAGUACGGUACUGACGCUGAGACGCGAAAGCGUGGGAGCGAACAGG